GCGAGAUAGCUCAGCUGGUAGAGCAACGGACUGAAAAUUCGUGUGUCACCGGUUCGAUCCCGGUUCUCGCC
rnacentral:tRNA from 1 species